rnacentral:lncRNA from 1 species
CGUCAUAGCUUGAAGUCAUUUUAUCCCCAUCCCAAAUCUCUCAAACCCUAAGUGCUUGAACGAAGAAGAUCACGAAAAUUCCCAAGUCAAUUGGCCAAGCUCCAUCACUAAAUCCCCUAAAUGAUUGUGAAAUUUACCAAGCUCUUCUAAACCUCUAACCCCCAAAUUCCCCAAAUCUCCCAAUAUCUGAAUCACGAAAUAAAUAAAAUUAAUUAGCCAAACUGCAUCUCGUCAUUGUCGACCAUUGGAAGCGGCCAAAUCAUAUCUCAAGUUAAAAAAUAAAUAAAAUCAAUUUUCAUCUCUUGUUUGUUGGAAACGUUGAUGUGCUAUGAAGGUGACUUUCAUCUCUUCUAGUAACCCAUUUGAGCUUGAGCGAGUAAGUGAGAUCAAGGACCACAGCUUUACUUAGCU